GGUCUUAUAUUCAAAUUAUAUGAUAUAAAAUUGCAAAUUUUAAGUAGUAAAAUAAAAUUUUACUAAGGCUU
rnacentral:tRNA from 1 species